rnacentral:lncRNA from 1 species
UUUCCCCGUGUUGCGCGUGCGCAGAGCUGCUGCGCAGUAGCGUCCUUGGCUUUUCCGCGGCCACGGGAGGUGAAUUGAAGCGUCGACCGCUGGCCUCCCUGAGCCGGCUCGGCCAGUGCGGGUGUUCCAGGAACUGCCCCGUGGGAUCUGAGGUUAUUUCAUAUCUAAGUGGGCCGUGUCUGGAGCUUCCCUCCUUUCUGUCCUGCUGAGAUGUCCCGCGUCGCUCGCGAGGCAUUUAGGAUACGGAUGCUGCUGGCUUAGCUUCAAGAGGCUCUUUUGUCUCACAAAUGGAGCUUCCUGAUCCAUCUGAAGACCGCAGUCAGAGGCCAGGCAUGGUCUUGGAAGGCCACACUGCAGAGGCUCUGGGUCAGAUGGUACAAGUUCAAACUGUGGAGCCAGACACCGAAGUCCAGUUCAUUGCCUUUUAUAGUUACAUAAUGCAUUUUAAUUGUUCUACUAGUUAUAUGUCCAUUGGUGCAACUCAGCUUCACCUACCAAGUACAUGUCCAACUCAAUCUCCCCAACAAAUGCC